GUAGGUGGCAAGCGUUGUCCGGAAUUAUUGGGCGUAAAGCGCGCGCAGGCGGUCCUUUGAGUCUGAUGUGAAAGCCCACGGCUCAACCGUGGAGGGUCAUUGGAAACUGGGGGACUUGAGUACAGAAGAGGAAAGCGGAAUUCCAAGUGUAGCGGUGAAAUGCGUAGAGAUUUGGAGGAACACCAGUGGCGAAGGCGGCUUUCUGGUCUGUAACUGACGCUGAGGCGCGAAAGCGUGGGGAGCAAACAGGAUUAGAUACCCUGGUAGUCCACGCCGUAAACGAUGAGUGCUAAGUGUUAGGGGGUUUCCCGCCCCCCUUAGUGCUGCAGCUAACGCAUUAAGCACUCCGCCUGGGGAGUACGGCCGCAAGGCUG
rnacentral:rRNA from 1 species